rnacentral:tRNA from 1 species
AGCAACAUGGCGCAGCUGGAAGCGCGCAGGGCUCAUAACCCUGAGGUCACUCGAUCGAAAGGAGUUGUUGCUA